rnacentral:lncRNA from 1 species
AUAUUAUGUCGUGACAGGACAAAAUCCAGAGUAUGUACAGAAAAAAAUGGACACAAGAUUGGCAAGACAUCAAGUUGCUAGGAGAGACAAAUACAUUUGUACAAACAUCAAUCUUGACCAUGGAAUAGAAGCAUUCAUAAUUGAGGACGUACAUACAUACACCAAGAUAAGAGAAGGAUGAGAUUAUUCCUGACUGACUGACUCGCACACACUGUUUACCCUGAAUUUCUCAAGGACAAGAUAGCGCAAUGAAACUAAACUGGCUUACUGAUGAUGACGCGACGACGUACACUUGCUGGAAUUUUUGAAGCGAUUUCAAUCUCUCAUGGCGAUGACGGAUGGACGAGAUGAGAUUGAGGUUUUCAGUAGUCGGCGGUGGGGAGCUGCUCGUGGGGGCGCUGGCCGAUGAAGCAGAUGUCGUAGACGAGGGCGGCGAUGGCGGCGCCGGCGAAGGGGCCGAGCCAGUAGACCCAGUGGUUCUCCCAGACGCCGCUGACGACAGCGGGGCCGAAGGAGACGGCGGGGUUCAUGGAGGCGCCGUCGAAGGCGCCGCCGGCGAGGAUGUUGGCGCCGACGAUGAAGCCGAUGGCGAUGGGCGCGAUCACCCCGAGGUCGCCGCGCUUGGGGUCGACCGCGG